rnacentral:rRNA from 1 species
GACGAACGCUGGCGGCGUGCUUAACACAUGCAAGUCGAGCGGAGCGGCGAACGGGUGAGUAACGCGUGAGUAACUGCCCCCCUCUCGGGGAUAACAGUUGGAAACGGCUGCUAAUACCGGAUAGUGUGGGAUGACUCGCGUCCUAUCAGCUUGUUGGUGGGGUAGUGGCCUAACAAGGCGACGGAGGGUAGCCGGCCUGAGAGGGCGACCGGCCACAUGGGGCUGAGAUACGGUCCAAACUCCUAUGGGGGGCAGCGGUGUGGAUGAUUGCACAAUGGGGGAGACCCUGAUGCAGCAACGCCGCGGGCGGAAUGACGGCCUACGGGUUGUGAACCGCGUUCAGCCAUGACGCGGUAGUGGCAGAAGAAGCACCGGCUAACUACGUGCCAGCAGCCGCGGUAAUUC